rnacentral:rRNA from 1 species
UACGUAGGGACCAAGCGUUUGUUCGGAUUUACUGGGCGUAAAGGGCGCGUAGGCGGCAAUUCAAGUCAGUUGUGAAAUCUCCGAGCUUAACUCGGAACGGUCAACUGAUACUGUUUUGCUAGAGUACAGAAGGGGCAAUCGGAAUUCUUGGUGUAGCGGUGAAAUGCGUAGAUAUCAAGAGGAACACCUGAGGUGAAGACGGGUUGCUGGGCUGAUGACUGACGUGAGGCGCGAAAGCUAGGGUAGCAAACGGG